rnacentral:lncRNA from 1 species
AGCUAGAAACAAAACUAGGUUGGCUAGUUGGCCAGGAGCUAGAAACAGAACUCUGUUGGCUAGGAGCUAGAAACAGAACUAGGUUGGCCAGGAGCUAGAAACAGAACUAGGUUGGCUAGUUGUCCAUGAGCUAAAAACAGAACUAGGUUGGCUAGUUGGCCAGGAGCUAGAAACAGAACUAGGUUGGCCAGGAGCUAGAAACAGAACUAGGAUGGCCAGGAGCUAGAAACAGAACUAGGUUGGCCAGUAGCUAGAAACAGACCUAGGUUGGCUAGGGGCUAGAAACCGAACUAGGUUGGCUAGGGGCUAGAAACAGAACUAGGUUGGCUAGUUGGUCAGGAGCUAGAAACAGAACUAGGUUGGCUAGGAGCUAGAAAAAGAGCUAUGUUGGCCAGGAUCUAGAAACAACUCUGUUAGCCAGGGGCAAGAACCAUAACUAUGUUGGCCAGGAGCUAGAAACAGAACUAGGUUGGCUAGUUGGCAAGGAGAUAGAAACAGAACUCUGUUGGCUAGGAGCUAGAAACAGAACAAGGUUGGCCAGGAGCUAGAAACAGAACUAGGUUGGCUACUUGUCCAGGAGCUAAAAACAGAACUAGGUUGGCUAGUUGGCCAGGAGAUAGAAACAGAACUAGGUUGGCUAGGAGCUAGAAACAGAACUAGGUUGGCCAGGAACUAGAAACAGAACUAGGUUGGCCAGGAGCAAGAAACAGAACUAGGAUGGCUAGGAGC